rnacentral:lncRNA from 1 species
AUCCAUCAUUUAAUAACACAAGCACACAUCCAAUUCACAUAAACAUAUACCUAUCACAUACAAACUCAACCUCAUACAAAUUCAUUACAAAGAUAAAUGAUUGAUGAGCUCAUCAAUUCCAUGAUUUCUAUUUCCUUGUUAUUUUUCCAUAUUUAUCCCGUUGAACUACUUGGAAUCUCGAUGGAUAUUCAGGGGUACACCUAAGUGUACAAAUCCGGGCCCGUCAAUUCAUAUUCAUGUGCGCACAUUUCCAUUUCAGAGAGCACACUCCCGCGAACCUCAUCCCUACAGUGGGAUUACCUGUCCAGGCUAAAUCCCCUGUAAUAUAAACUCACAGAGUAUUGUCGGGAUUACCAGUCCAGGCUAAAUCCCCUGCAACGACAAUUACUCUAAUGAGCUUGGAUCUGAAUUACCAGUCCAGGCUAAAUUCAGACCCUAAUUCGGAUUACCAGUCCGGGCUAAAUCCAUUUUCC